rnacentral:tRNA from 1 species
GUCCCUGUCGUUCAGAGGCCUAGGACCUCGGCGCCUCACGCCGAAGACGGGGGUUCGAAUCCCCCCAGGGACA